ACGGCUCAGUAACACGUAGACAACCUACCCUAUGGACCGGGAUAACCUCUGAAAACUGAGGGUAAACCCCGAUAGAUCAUUAUACCUGGAACGGUUUAUGGUCCAAAUGAUUCAUCCCCCUAAGAUGGGACUGCCGCCUAUCUACUUGGUGGUGAAGGAAUGGCCCACCAAGGCUAUUACAGGUACGGGCUCUGAGAGGAGAAACCCGGAGAUGGGU
rnacentral:rRNA from 1 species